CCCUCAUCUGGAGAUGGCAUUCCUCCACGAAACCGCCGCGCGCGCCGCGGCUGAUGAUGCCUACGGCCCC
rnacentral:ncRNA from 2 species